rnacentral:rRNA from 1 species
AAAUUGAAGAGUUUGAUCAUGGCUCAGAUUGAACGCUGGCGGCAGGCCUAACACAUGCAAGUCGAACGGUAACAGGAAGAAGCUUGCUUCUUUGCUGACGAGUGGCGGACGGGUGAGUAAUGUCUGGGAAACUGCCUGAUGGAGGGGGAUAACUACUGGAAACGGUAGCUAAUACCGCAUAAUGUCGCAAGACCAAAGAGGGGGACCUUC